AGAAAUUAAUUAAUGAGAAACUUCGGUGUUUUUUUUCCUUUACAGGGCAAAAUCAUGGUUGAAUGUGGUACAAGUAUAACUGACUUUCAAGAACUUGCAAGGCAAGCCCUUCAAAAAAUGAAUUGUAGUUACAAAUGACGAAACUGAUUACGUCCGAGAAUUAGAUGUCACUCACCUGACAACAAAGCUUAGUUUUUUCGCUUAUCUUUUUGGCAUUAUUUUUUUUGUCUCAAGUCAUUUGACUAUUUUAUCGACCAAAAAAGUGCUAGUUUGGCUGUAAUUUACAUUUGUAUUACACUAUGUUACACUUUGUGACCAUAAAUUUCAUUGAACUCAUAUUA